rnacentral:tRNA from 1 species
UAGGUGGCAGGUUGUAGCCCUGUUUAGGUGGGUAGUAGUCCCACUCUUAUCAA